UACGUAGGGUCCGAGCGUUGUCCGGAAUUAUUGGGCGUAAAGGGCUCGUAGGCGGUUUGUCGCGUCGGGAGUGAAAACACCGGGCUUAACUCGGUGCUUGCUUUCGAUACGGGCAGACUGGAGGUAUGCAGGGGAGAACGGAAUUCCUGGUGUAGCGGUGAAAUGCGCAGAUAUCGGGAAGAACACCCGUGGCGAAGGCGGUUCUCUGGGACGGUACUGACGCUGAGACGCGAAAGC
rnacentral:rRNA from 1 species